rnacentral:lncRNA from 1 species
UACUCAGUCUCUGUGUUGUACUUUUUACAUGUUCUUUUAUUUAAAGUAUUCAUUAAUUUUAAGUAGUCAUUAAUUCCCAUUUUACAGAUAAGGAAACUUAGGCUAAUAGAAAUGGAGUGAUUUACCCAAAGUCAUGGCUCAUGAGUGGAAGGACUAGAUUUGAAUAUAAGCAUUCUGAUUCAGUGCCAACUUUUUGUUUUGUUUUUGGUACUGGGGAUUGAACCCAGGAGUGCUUCACCACUGAGCUACAUCCCCAGAUUCCUCCCAACCCCCACCCCCUACCUUUUUUUUUGUUUAUUUGUUUUGUUUUGUUUUGUUUUUGAGACUAGCUCUAAGUUGCUGAAGGCCAAACUAAGUUGCUGAAACUGGCCUUAAACUUGGGAUCCUUUUGCCUCAACCUCACGAGUAACUGGGAUUACAGGCGUCCCCACUUGUGCCAGCCCCCCCCCCCCCAAAAAAAAAAAAUUAAACUACAUUACUACUUCUUUCCUAAUUAUUGAUAAGUCAUGAGAUUGUGUUUAUAGUAAAUGUGGUAGUUCUUAUCUCAGAGAUACUGCACAAAAUUAAUAUAUUUAUUUGUCAUCAGGAAGUUCAUACUUUUACCCUCCCUUUUAAUGCAGCACUUUGUUCAUAUCUUUGUUACAAUACUUACGUUGUAAUAUAAUUUAUCUGGUUAUAUGUUACAAGCUCCUCUAGGAAGGGGACCAUGUCUUAUUCAUCUUUUUAUCUCUACUGCUUAUCAUAAAGCCUGGCUCAUGUGGGCACUCAAAUGUUUGUUGGAUAAUAUAGUGAAUGAAUGCAUAUUUAAAUCUCCAGUAAUGGGGUGACAAUUACCUCCCUUGUUAAUUCUUAUCAAUUUUACAAAAAUUUCUUUUGAUGGUCUUUUCAGUCACUGAGACCAUUUUGCUAAACAGUGGAUACAGUUAAACUUCUCUUUAGAGGGUUUAUACUUACAGUCUUAGUGAAAUUUCCACAAUAAUUAGUAAGGCAUUAAUAUUUGGGAGUGUUAAAUGUUGUAAUAUCAGAGGUAAUAUAGCCUUUGAGUUUCUAUUAGAGAAUGUGAUUGCAAAUACUGAGAAUCACCAAUCUAGUCCAUCCCACUAAUUUUUUAUAUCCAAAGGUGACCUAGUAUAGAAAACUGGACAAGUGUUAAGAGAUAACAGUUUUUGGUCUCAGCUCUGCAACUAACUGUGGCCUUAGACAAGUCUCUUACCUUAUCCAGGGUUGUUUCCUUGUCUGUAAAAUGAAAGGGGUUGGACUAGAUGAUCUCUAAGAUCCCUUUCAAACGUGUAGUUUCUUUGGUGCUAUUUUAGUGUUCCAAAACAAUUUAAUAUAUAUAAAUCAAUUCUUUAUGUCUGUUGUUGCUGUUGUUUCUAUCAUCUUAUCAGUGGAAACAACUUAGAUGUCGUUUUGAUAAUACAUAUAAUAUCUCUUGGUACAGUUUUAUAUGUAGACUUCCCAAAUUCCAUUCAACCUACUAAUAAGUAAAAAUUAACUUCUCUAUUCACUAGCAAACUUCCAUUUCCCUAUUAUAACUUUUCCUUUUGUUUCUAAACUCAAGGUUUAAAAAUAAAAAUAUCUGCCUGUAAUGCAGAAAGUCUCUUCAUAUGCAAAUAUGGAUUUAAAUCCUCUGUUCAUUUCAGUUUACUUUCUUUUUUUUACAAUAUGCUACCUAAAAGUAGAAACAUUUUUAAAUUCUAUAAUUCAACUAACAAGUUUUUUGCUUUACUGUGCAUAUAUGAGCUGUUGCAGGCAGAGUUGGGGAUGGGAAAAGGAUUAAGGGCAACUUAGGUUAUCUGCUUAUAAGAAAAAACAGGAAAAUUAUAUAUUACUGGUUAAAAGAUUGAUUAGGAUUACCUCAAGGGAUGGUUGAGUUGUCAUUUUACAUAUUUCAGUAUUUUAUGUCUCUGAGCAGUUGUUGUUUUAAGUGUUACUGGAUAAUUGUAACAUUAUAAAAAUUAAGUAUUUAAUUGAUGCCCAUACAUUUAAUGAAACUAUGAUGCAGGAAUGGAGAAUAUUCCAUAACUUUUGUUUUAUCGUCAUAUAAUCCAGUGUAACAACCAGUAGUGUAAAGACAAGGCUUCACUGUUUUAGCUGAUUACUUAUAACAAGUAUAGCUGAACUUAAUAGAAGAAAACAUCUUGUUACUAAAACUGGUUUUGGGGCACUGUAUUUCCAGUCUUAUUUGGAACACUAACUAUUGGGCAUAAAGGUCUUUUAAAAAAAAAGCAGUUGCUUGUUUGGUAUGUUGAAAUAUUAAUGAUUGUAUCAGAGUAUCAUACAGAUUUUAUCCAUCCAUAUUUUCUUUUUUCCCCUUACACAUAAUACAGACUAAUUAUAGAAAAUUAGAUUUAGUUCUCCUAGAAUUUACCUAAGUAUUUAUGAGCCUCUCCCCCUUUUAUAAAAAGUUUGCUAGCCUUUUAAAACAGAUGUCCUGUAUGAUUGUUAAAUUAGUUCACUUUUUUGAGCUUUCUUUCAGAACUUCUAAAAUCCUAUAAAUUAAAAAUGGAAAUUUAAUGUAGAAUUAAAUCACCACUGUAAAAUAUUUGUAAGGCAGAAGGAAAAUUUCUUUUUCCCAUAUAUUAGAAACUUAUUUUUGUUAACAUCUUGAACUGGCUAGUUCUAAGGUAUGUAUAUGAUUUUUAGAAAAGAAUAGUUCUAUUUUUUUCUCUUUGACAUUAUAUACUUAUCAAAUGAAACAGUCUUCUAAGAUAGCUACCUAAAAGUCCUAGGAAGAAAGAAAUUUUGGUGAACAUUACUCCCAUUGUCAAUAAUUUCAAAUGAAAACAUCAUACUUCUUUAGUAGAAAAACACCUAAUAUCUUGCACUUUGUUAGUAUUUUGUGCUCAUUACUUAAUUAAUUGAAAGCACUCUUAAUUUCACAUCACAUUUUUAUAUUUACUCCUUCCUAAGUCUCUCCCUUCGUGUUUCUUUAUUUCAUCCAUUCACUUUUCUUCUCAUCAUCCAAAGUUAGUCUUUUUUGGUAUACCAGACACUGUCUCAUUUUGAUGCAUUUCUUUUUGACCUUAGUACUUAGUAUAGAAUUUUAUAUCAUACAGAGUGUUUAAAGAAUGAAAUGGUAAUUGAAUGGAAUUUAAGGAAAUUAGUUACACCUUGCAAUUACUUUAAAGAAAAUUUUUAUUUUUAUUUAAAAUACCUUGGAGUUCAUGUUUUUUAAAUUUUUCUCUGCCUACCCACAUCUCUAUGAAUAUAUAACCUGAUAAGGAUCUAGAUUUCCUAACUGAAAAUUUCAGUCAGAACCAUGUUAUAGUGCUGUGAGUUUUGGAAGCUUGAUGUUUCAAAGAAACAUGAUGUAGAGAAGUUUUGUUAAAAUCACUUUAGUCCAAAGCUAGUCCUUUGUGUAAUUUGUCUGCAACUUUGAUUAUGAUUCCUUUCUCAAAAAGAUUAUUUUAAUGUUUAGAAAAGUUGAAGAUCAAUUUAUGGUGUGACUCAAUUUUUAGAAUUAUUUGCUUCUUGCAAAGUUUUUUUUUAAUAGUCUUCUCUUUUUUCAGCAGAGAGAGAUCAUCAUUGCCUGAAUUUAGUUUUGUGACUACAAGAGCAAGACCUGUUCCUGUCCGGAGACGACUGUUAAUGAUAAUAUCAUCCUAUCAUUUUGUUGCCCUUUAUCAAUUGAAUAGAUGUUUACAUGUACUAUAAUUAGCAUUUUAUCUUUACAGUACACCCGAGUCCAGAAGUAUCUGAAUGUGUGUUCUGUGUGACCUUAUUCAUAAAGGUUUUUUCCCCUUACUUUAUAGCCACUAUUUUUUUAAACACCUUAAAGAAGGAACAAGGCCUCUUAGUUUCCUAAUAUGAGUACAUUCAACCUCAGCCAAAUUGAGAAUUGUGUCUGGGAAAUCUAUAAAGCCAUGAUACUGUGUGUGUUCAUUAGCAUGAACAAUUUAUAAUGAAGAAAAUGAAUUAAAAAGUUAAGCAUAGUUUGGUUUUAAUUUUUUCUUGGUUUUAAGAUAUAUUUCUGAGAUUACAAGAGUCACUUAAAAUAAUUUUGAACAAAUGAGAUAUUUUUACACACUGUAAUGCUUGCCCAUUUCUUAAUGAAUAUACUUCAUUGCCAGCACCGCUUACCCAAAUAUUAUUUUUUUUUUAAUUCUUAGCUCUUCAAAACAAGGAGAAUAAUUUUCUUUUUGAGUAAUAAAUGAUGAUCUGUGGAUUAUAAAUAUUGAAAGAGAUCUAUUAAAUGUCCAGUUUACACAGCUUUUCCUGUUUUCUUCACUUGUAAUCAAACAUCAAAAGAUGAUCAAAGAUGAGCAAAGGGAAAUAGUAUAAUGUGUCUAACAUUGUUAAAGACUAUAUAGUUUCAGCUGCUUUAAAAAGUGCUUAGUGCUUGGUUCAGUAGCACAUAUACUAAAAUUGGAAUGAUACAGAGAAGAUUAGCAUGGCUCAUGCUCAAGGAUAACACAAAUUCGUGAAGCGUUCCAUAUUUUAAAAAAUGUGUAUACAAAUUAUUUAUAAACAAUGGCUUAGAAUUACCAAGACUAUGAUUAAAUCUCAUGUACACUCAAUAUUUUUAAAAAAAUUUUCUCAGUAUUCCUUCAUAGAUUCUUAGGCAUUUGAGCACUCAAGUCUUUAUUAGGAAAGUGAAGUUACACUGAUUCUAUUCACCAUUUUUUUUAAGUUCAUCCAGACAUACUUUUUUUGUGUGCAAAGCUGACUAUUCUACAUUAUUUUCCCCUUGAAUAUGCAUCGUGAUUGUCUUAUAAAAAAUGAAGAGAAUGUAAUAAACAUAUAAUAUUAUCUGUUUUGAUCCACAUUGGUUACACAGGCAUGGUUAAGGGAAAAGUCAUAUUGUGAAAAGUCUUCUGACAGUUAUUAACAAGGCAUUUGUUUUCUUAAACUUGACUUUUUUGAGGGGGCCGGGGGCAUUCGCAUUUACAAACUAGCAGGUAGCUAGCUACCGGAAAUUCAAAAACAUUUUCCCAGAUUAGUUUGGUACUUUUGAUUUUCAAGGAAAGACUCUCUGCCCCUAAAGUAGUAGUUCAGCUGCUAGAUUAGAACCCAAAGAACAUCUUCUGAAGAGACCCUACUUGCUCUUAAGUUUUGUUUUUUUUAAUGGAUGUGGACCAUUUACUACCACCUUCAACUUUGUCAUGGUUUUUCCCUUUGCUUUUAAAUUAAAGCAAAUUGAAUAUGCCAAUGGGAAUCAAAAGUCAAGAUGAUUUGAUUCUCAUUAAGAUCAUUGUGUUUUUUGAAAAUUGCUGUGAGAUCCAGUUGGUCAGUUAUGUAUUUAAAUCCUCAUAUGUUGAUUAAAGAUAGGUUCUCAUUUUUUAAAUUUUCUUAAAUAGGAUUCUCAUGGAGCUAUGUGUAGAUAACUGUACAGAAUCACUUUUAUGUAAUGAAUGAAGUGGUUUACCUCUGCAUGAUUGCAUUAUGGAAGCCUUUUAUAUAUCUUUAUAUUUUUCAAUAUACUUAGAUUUUACACUAUUAGCCACUCUAGUCAUGCUAUAUUUGUUUUUUUAAUAGAGUUUAUAAAUAUUUAUGCUCAAAGUACAGAUCAACUGAAUAUUUUUGGUCUUGUUUACAAGAUAAUACUUUAAAGUGAUACAGGCCCCUCAAGUGUCUUAGGAAAAAGUCGUUGGUGCUACAAAACCUUUCAUUAAUCAUUUUGAACCUGUUGUCUAGACUUUGCUAGGCUUUAAUCUGUGAUUGCUUAUGAUUUAUUCUAAUCUAGCAGCAUAAUUAUAAAAGUGGUUCACGCUGAGUCAAGUAAAGAGCCCAGCCUAUUUGAAACACCUCAUAAGUUAAGGAAAUGGUACAGAAUGACUGUACACUUAUUUGUGCCCAGCUUCCCCUAAAAGAUUAUUUUGAUAAGAAGGUUAUUAAUUUGACUAAAAUUUUAAAAAAUGUAUUCAGCAUGGCUGUUUUCUCAUAUGUCAAUUGGAAAACUUCUCUAGUACUAAAAUAUUAUGUAAUCUUACUCUGCUUCAAGUUGCCUUCUUUCACUCAACAGUAGGCAGAGUAAUUCUUGACUAUUUGCAGAAUACUUGAUGAGUUAUUAAGAGAUGUAUUAUUACAUUGUACAAGUUUUGCAUUGAUGUGUAGAGUUUUUGUUUUGUCCCCAAAUUUUAUUCCAGCACCUUAGUGAAUGUUCUUAAGAUACUAUUGUUAAGUAUCAGCAAAGCAUUCAUAUAUGUUUACUUUUGAUUCUCAGAAUCCUGAACUUGUUUUGAGUGGUACUACUUCAGAACAUACUGUCUGGCACAAGAUUUCCUUUAACAAGUGGUUUGUUUUAACUUAGUUUCUGUGGACUGCUGAAUCUAAAAACACCAAAGGAGUUUUUUCUUGUCUGAAGACUGGAUUGUUCCAGUGUUUAAUACCUGUGCCCAUAAGUAUCCCAUUUCAUGAAUGUGUGUUGGCAUGGGGAAAAAUAUUCCCUGCUCUUUGAGUGGAGCGAAAGUAAUUGGUUAAGCUGUAGCAGCUUUUUGUUUAUUUUUAAAGUGAUAAUAAAACUUGAACUUAAAAAAGGCAAAACUUGAACUAGAAACUACUCUUGUAUGCUUAGAAUGUUUAUAGUAUUACAUGGUUUAUGUGGGGUUGUCAACAUUUUUAUUAUUUAUAGUUGAAUUAUGUUUUGUUUGUUAAAUAUCCAUAAUGUUUAUUAUUUUUAUAUUUCAAAAAUUUUAAAAUAAAAUAGUCUUACUAAAAACAGUUGUUAACGUUUAGAAUUGUCCUACAUCUUGCAUCAGCUGUAUUAUUAUGAACUAGAAAGAUAUGUACCCGAUGGGCAUUAACAGUUGAGAAUUCUGAAAAUUGUCUGUACAAAGAAAUGGCUCCACAUUUUCUCUUGCUUCUUCACCCUUAUUCUUAUUUUUUUUAAUUUAAUUUUGGUUCUGGUGUGUUGAUAGCUUAAUAACUCCUCUCACAUAUGCAUACAUAAAUUUUCAUUACCCUUUUCCUCUCUAGUUUCUGCCUCUUCACUGGUGGAAGUUUUCUCUAUUCAUUUAUGGCCAACAAUUUAGGAGUGAUAAGUAUAGAAAUACUAUUAUGUCAAAGGAGGAAUUCCAUGGAUUUCUAAAAGUGAAGUAUCAAUCCCCGAGGCCAUUGAAAGCUUUCAAAUUUCUCUAACUGAAUUUUCACCUGAAGUUUUUUCCCUUCUGAUCUGAUUUGGCUUACUUUCCCAGCAUUUAGCAUGUUCAUUUCAUAUUUAAUUUUAUCAAAUGGAUUUUAUAAAAACUCUGCAAAAAUGCAUUUUCAUCUCACUGUUUCAAUAAAAAAAAUCUAAAGAGAUAACGGUUGUGAAAUGGAGAA